AGCACGAGGUUACGCGGUCCUGGACACUAGGGGUCGCCACGUUGUUUGUGAUCCGCCAGAAAAUCCAGAGAAGAAGAAGAAGGAGCGCCACGUUUCCUGCCUGAGAGAAGGGGUGCUGGUGAAUUGGAGACACAGAAACACUGCAGUCUUUCCAGACAGAGAGGACUGCUGGUGAUACGCUCUGUGGGAACUAUUGAUGAGUCUUCAGGACCGCAACUGCUUUCUCAAAGGAGGACCAGCUCAUGGACGAGACGGACUGUCUGUGACCCAACUUCACACUUUGAAGCUGUGAUCUGAGUGACCUGAUGAAGCUCAGGUGUUCCUGGACCCAUCAGAGGACAGUGACAGCUGCAGCAUCAGGACAGUCUGUGUAUCCAAAGGAAGACUCAUCAGGAUGAACACUGACCGCAGAGCUCCAUUACCAGCUCACACUGCAGUAUACUAGAAACCAUAAACCUUGAUGGAGGACACGAUCUGCACAGCUCACAUUAAAGUUAGAGCUUUGUUACUUGCACUAUACACACACUUUAUAUUUCUGUGUAACUGUAAAUUUGAAUGAAACAUGAAUAAAGUGUUUUAUUUUUAA